UGGGGAAUCUUGCGCAAUGGGCGAAAGCCUGACGCAGCCAUGCCGCGUGAAUGAUGAAGGUCUUAGGAUUGUAAAAUUCUUUCACCGAGGACGAUAAUGACGGUACUCGGAGAAGAAGCCCCGGCUAACUUCGUGCCAGCAGCCGCGGUAAUACGAAGGGGGCUAGCGUUGCUCGGAAUUACUGGGCGUAAAGGGAGCGUAGGCGGAUAGUUUAGUCAGAGGUGAAAGCCCAGGGCUCAACCUUGGAAUUGCCUUUGAUACUGGCUAUCUUGAGUACGGAAGAGGUAUGUGGAACUCCGAGUGUAGAGGUGAAAUUCGUAGAUAUUCGGAAGAACACCAGUGGCGAAGGCGACAUACUGGUCCGUUACUGACGCUGAGGCUCGAAAGCGUGGGGAGCAAACAGGAUUAGAUACCCCCGUAGUCCCUGAGCGGGCUGGCAAGGCGCAU
rnacentral:rRNA from 1 species